UCAAGGAAGAAAGAUUACAGGAAAUUUUCAGAAUAAAAUUCAAAAUUGAAAAGCUGACUGACCAGAAGAAGUUUAUAGUAGAUUUGAACUUCAGUAUUUGCCUUGAGAAAAAUUUAUGUAAACCAACACUAACAAUCUUCAAAGAACAACUGAUACCACAGCCUCUAUGUGAUAUGGAAAUGGACUUCAAAUCACCAAAUAUAUCCUUGUUUGAUUGGAUGGGAAACAAAGGUUUAGGAAUUGGACAAAGUUUAACAUCAGCACUUGCAAAUGAAUUGAUGGAAUAUUUGGGUUUAAAGCCUUUUCUGAAUGAAGUACCAUGUGAUAGGAAUGAAAUACCAUAUAAAGAUGCAGUUGAUGGUUGGAACACCACAGCUUGUCCUGUCAAUAUAUCUUUACCAAAAAUACAAAGUACCAUAAGCUGUACACUACCAGAUUACUGCACAGGAGUUCAUUGUUGUGUUGAAGUUGGAAAAAUUAGAAAAUCAUUCACAGUGUACGCAGAUAUUGAUGGCUGCAAUUUAAAAUUGUCUUUUGGAAUUGAGAAAAGGCAUUUUGAAUUUACCUUGAUUAAUUACA